UAGGGAAUCUUCCGCAAUGGGCGAAAGCCUGACGGAGCAACGCCGCGUGAGUGAUGAAGGUCUUCGGAUCGUAAAACUCUGUUAUUAGGGAAGAACAAAUGUGUAAGUAACUAUGCACAUCUUGACGGUACCUAAUCAGAAAGCCACGGCUAACUACGUGCCAGCAGCCGCGGUAAUACGUAGGUGGCAAGCGUUAUCCGGAAUUAUUGGGCGUAAAGCGCGCGUAGGCGGUUUUUUAAGUCUGAUGUGAAAGCCCACGGCUCAACCGUGGAGGGAAAUUGGAAACUGGAAAACUUGAGUGCAGAAGAGGAAAGGGGAAUUCCAUGUGUAGCGGUGAAAUGCGCAGAGAUAUGGAGGAACACCAGUGGCGAAGGCGACUUUCUGGGAUGUAACUGACGCUGAUGUGCGAAAGCGUGGGGAUCAAACAGG
rnacentral:rRNA from 1 species